UACGGAGGGUGCAAGCGUUAUCCGGAUUUACUGGGUUUAAAGGGUGCGCAGGCGGAUAUGUAAGUCAGUGGUGAAAUCUCCGGGCUUAACCCGGAAACUGCCGUUGAUACUAUAUAUCUUGAAUGCCGUGGAGGUAAGCAGAAUAUGUCAUGUAGCGGUGAAAUGCUUAGAGAUGACAUAGAAUACCUAUUGCGAAGGCAGCUUACUACGCAGAUAUUGACGCUCAUGCACGAAAGCGUGGGGAUCAAACAGG
rnacentral:rRNA from 1 species